UGGAGAGUUAACAGCCACUGGGAAUA
rnacentral:piRNA from 1 species